rnacentral:tRNA from 1 species
GGUUUCGUAGUGUAGUCGGUUAUCACGUCAGUCUAACGCGCUGAAGAUCUCCAGUUCGAAUCUGGACGAAACCA